rnacentral:rRNA from 1 species
AACUCUAAGCGGUGGAUCACUCGGCUCGUGUGUCGAUGAAGAGCGCAGCCAGCUGCGUGAACUAAUGUGAAUUGCAGGACACAUUGAACAUCGAUAUCUUGAACGCAUAUUGCGGCCUCGGGCAUUCCCGAGGCCACGCCUGUCUCAGGGUCGGUUGUAAGUCAAUCGCAAG